AGGAUACCUGAAUAUUAGAGUAUUCUAGCUACAGGAAAGGUAAAGCACAAGUAAAGAAAAAGCAGCCCUCUUCUGCAUUGCCCCCCUGGUGUGCUUUAACUGUGACCUCAAGGAGCCAUAUCUAGAUAGGAGAGGGAGUUCAGUUUCCAAGGCCCAUUCAAUCCUAAGCUCCU
rnacentral:sRNA from 1 species